AAUACCGGCCUUAGGUGUCAUACAUAGUAUAUACGUUGUAUCUAGUAUAACUUUCAGUUAAUACCAUAUAUCAUUGCUGUUGUCGUUUAUAUUAUUCUAUUAUCAUUUUAUCUUGCUAGUGUCGUUUUAUCUUGCUAUUGUCAUUUUAUAAGAAAAAUCUUUAUUGUCGUUUGUUGUCAUUUGUUAUUACCGUUUUAUAAGAAACAGAUGUCUUAUUACGGUUCAAGGAAGUCAAUUGUUAAAGAUUGCUUAAAUUUUACAAAUAAUUGUUGUUUUGAUCCAGAUUGCAGGCUUUUACAUAGAUACAAAUACUGCUUUCAAUAUCAGAAUACCACAUGUCGCAAUAAAAGAUGUCAAUUUUUACAUUGUACCAGCGUGGAACAACUUCGCUAUGAACAAACAGGAAUAAUGACUGAGAAUAUGAAAAGAGAAGUCGGCCGAACUCCACAACAUACUAAUAUAUGUGGGGAUUUUAAAAUUAAAACUUGCAACAGACCAAAGUGUAAAUUGCGGCAUAUCAAAGUACAAGAUUUAAAGCCAAUGACAUGUGUCAUAUGUACAAAUGAUAUAAGUGUUACAAAUUUUGGUGCUGGAGAUUGCGGACACAUAUUAUGCUUAAAUUGUGCUGUACGAACCUCACAGGAUGUGGAUGGACCAGCAUUAAAAAUAUUAUGUCCAAUAUGUAGAUGUGAAAAUGAAUAUAAAAAACUAUAUUAAAUAUUCUUAAUACCUUUAUAAAAAUACUAUGCGGAAAUUUAUGCGGAAGUCUUUCUUGAUAAUAUUUCAAAAUAAAUAAAUAUUAAAUAUAUUAAAUUAAAGAUAAAUAUAUAAUUUAUGGAAGAUAACCUCGACCGUGAUAUACAUGUUUUAUAGGAUCAUGAAUUACCUGAAUUACCUUAAAAAGAGAGUUAACUAUUACUAAUUAUUUAUUAAAAAGUUAAAAAAUA